rfam:Callithrix jacchus chromosome 4, whole genome shotgun sequence
AAUAAGGCUUUUCUCAAAGCCAAAAAUAAAGUCCUAGUGAUUGGUA